rnacentral:lncRNA from 1 species
UUUUUUCGAGACAGGGUCUCAUUCUGUCACCUAGACUGGAGUGCAAUGGCAUGAUCUCAGCUCACUGCAACCUCCACCUCCCAGGCUCAAGCAGUUCUCCUGCUUCAGCUUCCCAAAUAGCUGGGACUACAGGGUCUCCAAUAUUUGAGAACUGACACAUUCAAUGUAAAAAUAAUCUGAGUAAAACCAUCAUCUAGUCCCUUUCCUUUGAGACCCAUUUUUUUUUUCCUCAUCCACAUCCUACCUAUAAGGGAGGAAGCAAAGUGAAGAACACAGAUUUCACAGAUGGGAUGCCUGGCUCAAAUUCCAGCUUGACCGCUGGUAGCUGUGUGACCCUCGGCAAGUUACUUGACCUCUCUCUACUCAGUGUCCUCAUCUGUCAGUGUAAUAUGAAUCAGAAAACAUGAACUCAGACUGAUGCUGGAAGCCACCUUAUGACUAUAAGCAGAAUCAGCCUCGUUAUGACGUUGAUGCUAUAAGCAACGGACUGAAAGAUACAAAGAGCAAGCAGACAGGAUGAAAUGCGUAAAUGGCGACAGUAGAGCCAGCCUUCAUGAAUCCAGAAAUGUGAGCCACAUUUUGAGGAUAGCAGAGUCACUGCAGAAGCCUGGAUCCUUGCAUAACCUUGUCGAGUGGGAAAAUCUACCCAUACUUGACCAACCACCUAACUGGGGGCUCUACAUCUGAGAGAAAUGAUUUUUUAUCUUAUUUAAGCCACUGUAGUUAGGAGUCAGUUUAUUACAGGACAUUGCCUGGUGUUCCAACAAAUAAACUACCUUAUUUGUUUCAAUAAAUAAAGUGGCUUUUAUUUACUAUUUUGGGGAUGGCUAAAAAAUUAUCAAACUAGGUAGAACUAAACUAAAGUUUCAGAUGAAAGAAGAUCUUCAUAAGCAACAUCACCAUCUUGUCACAGCAGCCAAAUGGUGGCAUGUCAUUUCUUCCAGGAAAGUAUAUAUACUCUGAAUGUAUCAUGUUUCAGCAUUGCUCUGUUAUAGGCUUGUAUAUCUAAUUUUGUCAUCACACAAGAUCUAUUGGGCUGGAUUAAAAUUAACCAAGAUCAUAAGACAAAUGUGUAAAAACAUUAAAUUUUUCAUUUACAAUGAGAAAUCAUUGUCAUGCAAUGAGACAUACUUAAUUUCACGCAACCAAUUUAUUUUCUUCAUGUAGUCAAGAUAAACAAGAUGCCAGACAGUAAUCAGAGGCUACUGCAUAGUUUUAUGAGAACUGAACCUACUCAAAGUCUAUAAAAUCAGCACCUUGAGUCCCUGAAGGCAGAUGUACAUAGGAAGCCAAAUUUUAAUCAGGAGAUUGCUUCAUGAACCUGGAAGCAGAUGUGGG